rnacentral:rRNA from 1 species
AUUGAACGCUGGCGGCAUGCUUUACACAUGCAAGUCGGACGAGUGGCGAACGGGUGAGUAAUAUAUCGGAACGUACCGAGUAAUGGGGGAUAACUAAUCGAAAGAUUAGCUAAUACCGCAUAUUAUUCGAGCGGCCGAUAUCUGAUUAGCUAGUUGGUGGGGUAAAGGCCUACCAAGGCGACGAUCAGUAGCGGGUCUGAGAGGAUGAUCCGCCACACUGGGACUGAGACACGGCCCAGACUCCUACGGGAGGCAGCAGUAGGGAAUCUUCGGCAAUGGACGAAAGUCUGAUCCAGCCAUGCCGCGUGUCUGAAGAAGGCCUUCGGGUUGUAAAGGACUUUUGUCAGGGAAGCGGUACCUGAAGAAUAAGCACCGGCUAACUACGUGCCAGCCGCCGCGGUAAUAC